CUCCUCCUCUUCCUCGGCACGCAGCUCCGGAGCCUCCGGCGCCGGCAGCGGCACGAGGAGGCGCCCAACGAGAUCAAGGAAGACGCCGUGGCUCCCAAGCCCUUCGCGUGGCCCAAAGGCGCCGCUUCCGACGGCGCCUCCCGGACCAGCACCCUGUCCUCGGCACCGGG